CAGUUCAAUUGCUAUUUCAACAGAACUUUUGCCAUUUGGGGGUAAAUUUCAAAUGAAUUCAGGUAAACAAAUUUCAUGAUCUCUCACAGUCUCAAACAAGUUGGCAUCCUUUUAGAAAAUGAACUAAACAAAAUGAUCAAAAGACCACAUGUGCAGGUGGGGUAGAGUU